UACGAGGGGGGCGAGCGUUGUUCGGAAUUAUUGGGCGUAAAGGGUGCGUAGGCGGCCUGACAAGUCUGAUGUGAAAUCCCUGGGCUCAACCCAGGGCCUGCAUCGGAAACUGUCGGGCUUGAGUAUGGGAGAGGUGAGUGGAAUUUCCGGUGUAGCGGUGAAACGCGCAGAUAUCGGGAGGAACACCGGUGGCGAAGGCGGUUCUCUGGGCCUUACCUGACGCUGAGGAGCGAAAGCGUGGGGAGCGAACAGG
rnacentral:rRNA from 1 species